GUGAAUCAUCAAAUCUUUGAACGCAAAUUGCACUCUCCGGUUUUCCGGGAGAGUAUGCCUGUUUGAGGGUCAGCCUAAAAAAAAUCUACAUUGUUGCUGUUAUUUAAUGGUGACUUUCGUCGGAGAUUGGGUUAUCUUAAACCUUUUUUUUUUUUGUUUUAGCCGCUUUAAAUUUUUUUUUACGAUUUCAUUAACGUUUCUAAGAUUUUUUUUUUUUUUUCGUUUUAG
rnacentral:misc_RNA from 1 species